UACGUAGGGUGCGAGCGUUAAUCGGAAUUACUGGGCGUAAAGCGUGCGCAGGCGGUUUUGUAAGCCGGAUGUGAAAUCCCCGGGCUUAACCUGGGAAUGGCAUUCGGGACUGCAAGGCUGGAGUGCGGCAGAGGAGACUGGAAUUCCUGGUGUAGCAGUGAAAUGCGUAGAUAUCAGGAGGAACACCGAUGGCGAAGGCAGGUCUCUGGGCUGACACUGACGCUCAUGCACGAAAGCGUGGGGAGCAACAGG
rnacentral:rRNA from 1 species